UACGUAGGGGGCGAGCGUUGUCCGGAAUCAUUGGGCGUAAAGCGCGUGUAGGCGGCUCGGUAAGUCUGCUGUGAAAGUCCAGGGCUCAACCCUGGAAUGCCGGUGGAUACUGUCGAGCUCGAGUCCGGAAGAGGCGAGUGGAAUUCCUGGUGUAGCGGUGAAAUGCGCAGAUAUCAGGAGGAACACCAAUGGCGAAGGCAGCUCGCUGGGACGUGACUGACGCUGAGACGCGAAAGCGUGGGUAGCAAACAGG
rnacentral:rRNA from 1 species